rnacentral:rRNA from 1 species
GACGAACGCUGGCGGCGCGCCUAACACAUGCAAGUCGAACGAGAGAGGAAGAGCUUGCUCUUCUAAUCGAGUGGCGAACGGGUGAGUAACGCGUGAGGAACCUGCCUCAAAGAGGGGGACAACAGUUGGAAACGACUGCUAAUACCGCAUAAGCCCACGGCUCGGCAUCGAGCAGAGGGAAAAGGAGCAAUCCGCUUUGAGAUGGCCUCGCGUCCGAUUAGCUAGUUGGUGAGGUAAUGGCCCACCAAGGCGACGAUCGGUAGCCGGACUGAGAGGUUGAACGGCCACAUUGGGACUGAGACACGGCCCAGACUCCUACGGGAGGCAGCAGUGGGGAAUAUUGCACAAUGGGGGAAACCCUGAUGCAGCGACGCCGCGUGGAGGAAGAAGGUCUUCGGAUUGUAAACUCCUGUU